CUGCAGCCCGACUUGAACGGAGCUCUUUUUCUUUUUUUGCCAAAAAAGAAAAAAGCGGGAGUGGAAGGCGGAUUAAGC
rnacentral:misc_RNA from 1 species